rnacentral:rRNA from 1 species
AUUGAACGCUGGCGGCAGGCCUAACACAUGCAAGUCGAACGGUAACAGGAAGCAGCUUGCUGCUUCGCUGACGAGUGGCGGACGGGUGAGUAAUGUCUGGGAAGCUGCCUGAUGGAGGGGGAUAACUACUGGAAACGGUAGCUAAUACCGCAUAAUGUCUCAAGACCAAAGAGGGGGACCUUCGGGCCUCUUGCCAUCGGAUGUGCCCAGAUGGGAUUAGCUUGUUGGUGGGGUAACGGCUCACCAAGGCGACGAGCUCUAGCUGGUCUGAGAGGAUGAGCGGCCACACGGGAGCUGGGACACGGUCCAGACUCCUACGGGAGGCAGCAGUGGGGAAUAUUGCACAAUGGGCGCAAGCCUGAUGCAGCCAUGCCGCGUGUAUGAAGGAGGCCUUCGGGUUGUAAAGUACUUUCAGCGGGGAGGAAGGGAGUAAAGUUAAUACCUUUGCUCAUUGACGUUACCCGCAGAAGAAGCACCGGCUAACUCCGUG